rnacentral:rRNA from 1 species
UAUCUCUGUAGAGUCUGCAUAUCAAUAAGCGGAGGAAAAGAAACUAACUAGGAUUCCCCUAGUAACGGCGAGUGAAGCGGGAAGAGCUCAAAUUUGAAAUCUUAAAGGGUUCUACCUUGACGAAUUGUAGUUUAAAGAAGUGUUUUCUGUUGGAGUUUCGGUAAAAGUUCUUUGGAAUAGGACAUCAUAGAGGGUGAGAAUCCCGUAUUUGACCAUUUCUUCCAGCUGUGUGAUACACUUUCAAAGAGUCGGAUUGUUUGGGAAUUGCAGUCCAAAAUGGGUGGUAAAUUUCAUCUAAAGCUAAAUAUUGGCGAGAGACCGAUAGCGAACAAGUACCGUGAGGGAAAGAUGAAAAGAACUUUGAAAAGAGAGUUAAACAGUACGUGAAAUUGUCAAAAGGGAAGCGUUUGACACCAGUGUUGUUUUCUCGAAAAUCAAUUAAAAAUGGCCGGAUUUUGUGUUGUAUUGACUUUAUCAGCUUUCUGCACAUUUUUCUUGUCUUUUUUAAUGCACUUUUCGUUUAACAAGUCAACAUCAAUUUCUUUUGUUGUAAAAGAGUACAUUGGAAGGUGGCUUUCACUUCGGUGAAAGUGUUUAUAGCCUUUGACUUCUGCAAUCGGAGAGAUUGAGGUCUGCAGCGUAGAUCCUUCGGGGUUAGAUACAUUUGUGCUAAGUUAUAAUUUUUUCAUAGACAACAUGUUGACUAUAAUUAAUCAUGUAGCUUACUCGCUUAUGCUAUUUUACCUACGCUUAGGAUGUUGAGUAGCGACAUACGCAC